GAUGAACGCUGGCGGCGUGCCCAACACAUGCAAGUCGAGCGAUUCUCUUCGGAGAAGAGCGGCGGACGGGUGAGUAACGCGUGGGUAACCUGCCCUGUACACACGGAUAACAUACCGAAAGGUAUGCUAAUACGAGAUAAUAUGCUUUUAUCGCAUGGUAGAAGUAUCAAAGCUUUUGCGGUACAGGAUGGACCCGCGUCUGAUUAGCUAGUUGGUAAGGUAACGGCUUACCAAGGCGACGAUCAGUAGCCGAACUGAGAGGGUGAUCGGCCACAUUGGAACUGAGACACGGUCCAAACUCCUACGGGAGGCAGCAGUGGGGAAUAUUGCACAAUGGGCGAAAGCCUGAUGCAGCAACGCCGCGUGAGCGAUGAAGGCCUUCGGGUCGUAAAGCUCUGUCCUCAAGGAAGAUAAUGACGGUACUUGAGGAGGAAGCCCCGGCUAACUACGUGCCAGCCGCCGCCGUAA
rnacentral:rRNA from 1 species